UACGAGGGGGGCGAGCGUUGUUCGGAAUUAUUGGGCGUAAAGGGUGCGUAGGCGGUUCCGCAAGUCCUGUGUGAAAUCCCCGAGCUCAACUUGGGAAUUGCAAUGGAUACUGGCAGGCUGGAGUAUGGUAGAGGAAGGUGGAAUUCCCGGUGUAGCAGUGAAAUGCGUAGAGAUCGGGAGGAACACCAGUGGCGAAGGCGGCCUUCUGGACCAAUACUGACGCUCAUGCACGAAAGCGUGGGGAGCAAACAGG
rnacentral:rRNA from 1 species